UACCAUGCAGUCGAACGUGAAAUGUAGCAAUACAGAGUAAAGUGGCGUACGGGUGAGUAACACGUGGGUAAUCUACCAAAGAGCCCGGAAUAACCGGCCGAAAGGCUGGCUAAUACUGGAUAGUUCAAGCGAAAUAUAAUGUUUCGAUUGGGAAAGGGAGCGGGUAACCGCCUUCACUUUUUGAUGAGCCCGCGUCUGAUUAGGUAGUUGGUGAGGUAAUGGCUCACCAAGCCUGAGAUCAGUAGCUGGUCUGAGAGGAUGAUCAGCCACACUGGAACUGAAACACGGUCCAGACUCCUACGGGAGGCAGCAGUGGGGAAUCUUGCGCAAUGGACGAAAGUCUGACGCAGCCACGCCGCGUGAGUGAAGAAGGCCUUCGGGUUGUAAAGCUCUGUCGGAGGGGACAAAAACCAUCAUGGUUAAUAGCCAUGGUGCUUGAUGGUACCCUUAAAGGAAGCACCGGCUAACUUCGUGCCAGCAGCCGCGGUAAUACGAAGGGUGCAAGCGUUGCUCGGAAUUAUUGGGCGUAAAGGGUAGGUAGGUGGUAAUAAAAGUCUGGGGUGAAAUCCCUGAGCUCAACUCAGGACGUGCCUUGGAAACUUUAUUACUAGAGUGCUGGAGAGGUCUGCAGAAUUCCCGGUGUAGCGGUGAAAUGCGUAGAGAUCGGGAGGA
rnacentral:rRNA from 1 species